rnacentral:tRNA from 1 species
GGUAAGCUAGCUCAGUCGGUUAGAGCGUGGGUCUAAUAAGCCCAAGGUCGCAAGCCA